UACGAAGGUUGCAAGCGUUGUUCGGAAUCACUGGGCUUAAAGCGUAUGUAGGCGGAUGAGUAAGCGUUUUGUGAAAUCCCUCGGCUUAACCGGGGAAUUGCUUGGCGAACUGCUCAUCUUGAGGCAAAUAGGGGUGCAUGGAACUCUUGGUGGAGCGGUGGAAUGCGUAGAUAUCAAGAGGAACGCCAGCGGCGAAAGCGGUGCACUGGAUUUGUCCUGACGCUCAGAUACGAAAGCGUGGGGAGCAAACGGG
rnacentral:rRNA from 1 species